rfam:Streptomyces rubellomurinus strain ATCC 31215 contig-32, whole genome shotgun sequence.
CUUGACGGUGCCGACCAGCAGUGGCCGCUCGGCGGGCCGCUCCCGCCCGUAGGUGGCGAGCAGCGCCUCGGCCUC